UACGUAGGUCCCGAGCGUUGUCUGGAUUUAUUGGGCGUAAAGCGAGCGCAGGUGGUUUAUUAAGUCUGGUGUAAAAGGCAGUGGCUCAACCAUUGUAUGCAUUGGAAACUGUUUCCCUUGAGUGUCGGAGAGGUAAUCGGAAUUCCUUGUGUAGCGGUGAAAUGCGUAGAUAUAAGGAAGAACACCAGUGGCGAAGGCGGAUUACUGGACGAUAACUGACGGUGAGGCGCGAAAGCGUGGGGAGCAAACAGG
rnacentral:rRNA from 1 species